GAGGAGGAGCUGCGGGCCAUGGAGGAGGAGCGCUCGGCCCGCUCCGCCGCUGCCACCCGCUGCCCCUAGCCUCGCCGUCCAUGCGCAGCCCUGCUACGCCGAAGAGCGCCGCCGGCCGGGGGGAGGAGCGGCGCAUGGGGAGGACGGCCGCCAUCGGCAGAGGGAGGCGGCAGCGAGGCGAUGUGUGCGGAGGGAGCGAAGCGAAGGGAGGGAGAGAGAGAGACGAGGGGGAAGAUAAAAAAAUCUGAUAAGUGGGCCCGUUGCUAGUAGUUGAUAUAGAGUAGAGGUACAGAGGAUGAAUGACUGUAGCGAAACUGGAUAUAGAGGACAGAAUCUCGAUGAUCUGGCAAGAAUAUUUCUUUUAGAGGAUGGAUUUAGAGUAUGAUGAGUGCAGACAGCCUAAUAUUUUACAUCAAUGAUACAGGGCGUGUUCUACUUGGACGAAAGAAGAGGAGCCAGCUUGAAAGUUCCAGUUUGAAAUUGAGCCUCUGGACAAAUUUACGUUUCAAAUGGGCCACUCGUGAGCUCGUUCCUGAUCACCGGAGGUAAUAGCAAUAUAGCAUCAAGCCAUCGGGGCAGGACAAAUCUGCAUACAUUGGCUUCUCUCGGACCGGUGACACCAGUGAUUCAAGAUUUGAGUAUCGCAACAACAAUCAAAGCAUCAAUGAUUGGCCAAGGCAUUUCAUGAGCUCAAAUCAAUUGUUUUUUUGUGAUGCAAAUGCGAGUUGCAACAUUGUUACAUUUAGUCACUUUUCACCAUGUGGUGGGGGUGUGGUGUGUUGGGUUGUAACGUUUGAUUAGCAGAAGUUCACCAAUCUCACAUUAUCAUGCAGAGGCUCGAAUAAUAAAAAGGAACUGCAACCGGUGGCAUAUUUCAGCCCGGUAGAUUGGUA